rnacentral:tRNA from 1 species
GGAGGGGUUCCCGAGCGGUCAAAGGGGGCAGACUGUAAAUCUGUUGGCUCAGCCUUCGGAGGUUCGAAUCCUCCCCCCUCC